GGGCGCUUGGUCUAGGGGUAUGAUUGUAAGCAUCGAUCCUGGUUCAUUCUCCACCUGCGAGUAAAUGCUAACAUCGUCAAGUUCGCUUCGCACCAAUCAUCGUGCUCUAUUGUGAAAGGUCGAGGGUUCAAUUCCCUCAGCGUCCA